UUAAAGAAUAAGCUAUGUUCUAAUGGCCAC
rnacentral:piRNA from 1 species